rnacentral:rRNA from 1 species
AAGGAAUAUUGGACAAUGGAGGCAACCCUGAUCCAGCCAUGCCGCGUGAAGGAAUAAGGCCCUAUGGGUUGUAAACUUCUUUUAGACGGGACAAAACCCCUUUACGUGUAAAGGGUUGAUGGUACUGUCAGAAUAAGCAUCGGCUAACUUCGUGCCAGCAGCCGCGGUAAUACGAAGGAUGCAAGCGUUAUCCGGAAUUAUUGGGUUUAAAGGGUGCGUAGGCGGACUAAUAAGUCAGUGGUGAAAGCCUGCAGCUUAACUGCAGAAUUGCCAUUGAUACUGUUAGUCUUGAGUACAGUUUAGGUAGGCGGAAUGUGUCAUGUAGCGGUGAAAUGCUUAGAUAUGACACAGAACACCGAUUGCGAAGGCAGCUUGCUAAGCUGUAACUGACGCUGAGGCACGAAAGCGUGGGGAGCAAACA